AUGACAGGUGUUCUUGUACAGUGUGCAGUGAAGCAAGAGAUGUAAUUCCACAGAGGAUUUCAAGGGACUAAUUCCAAGAGCAAAAGGCAAGAUUAUAACAAACUAUCUCAGCAGAUAUUUACAGGCAUUUCUUAGACAACAAUGAAAAGAUGAAAAUAAAAAAGAUCGUUGGAAACCUAGUAAAGUAAGGUUGGCAUCAUUGAUACAGCAGAGGUGGUUGUGAACCUGAAAUUUGCUUGCAGCAGGAGGGACUUUGCUCGCACAAAAAUUUAGCUUUUUAAUAGCCAAAGGAAAUCUGUUUUUCUUGGUGUCUGGGAGGGAAAAAAAACUUAUAUGGAAAGCAGCAAUGAAGCUUCAAAAGUGUUAGUACUUAAAUGUAUUUUAGUUGAUAAUUUGCUUGGAGAGAUCUCCUGCUGUGGAGCUGUUUCUUCUUUCUUGAUUACACCUAUGUUAUGAAAAUUCAUACUGUAAAUUCAUUGUAAAUAAAUAAAAUUGUUUUUUCAU
rnacentral:lncRNA from 7 species